GGUAUAACUAGAAGAAGUCAGAGGUUUAGAGAACUCUCGGUGUAGGAGUGAAAUCCGUUGAUAUCGAGGGGAAUACCAAAUGCGAAGGCACUAAACUGGGACUUUCUUGACGCUGAGGCACGAAAGCAUGGGUAGCGAAGCGGAUUAGAUACCCGCGUAGUCCAUGCCCUAAACGCUGUCCGCUGGUUUUGGGGGGAAUCGACCCCCUCCGAGGCGAAGUUAACACGUUAAGCGGACCGCCUGGGUAGUACGAGCGCAAGCUUAAAACUCAAAGGAAUAGACGGGGGCUCGCACAAGCGGUGGAUCAUGAGGCUUAAUUCGUCGAUAAGCGAAAAACCUUACCAAGGCUAGAAAUCAUACUGCAUACUCUGGGAAACUAGAGUAGCCUUCGAGGGUGUAUGACAGGUGAUGCAUGGCCGUCGUCAGUUCGUGCUUUGAAGUGUUCCCUUAAGUGGGGAAACGAACGCAACCCUCGUUGCCUGUUACAAGUGUCAGGCGAGACUGCUCCCUCACGGGAGAGGAAGGUGAGGAUGACGCCAGGUCAGCAUGUCCCUUGAUGCCUUGGGCUGCACUCGUGAUACAAUGGGAAGUACAAAGGGACGCAAUACCGUAAGGUGGAGCAAAUCCUGAUAAAACUUUCCUCAGUUCGGAUUGUGGGCUGCAAUUCGCCCACAUGAAGCUGGAAUCGCUAGUAAUCGUGAAUCAGCACGUCACGGUGAA
rnacentral:rRNA from 1 species